rnacentral:rRNA from 1 species
GAUGAAUGCUGGCGGCGUGCCUAACACAUGCAAGUCGAGCGGCAGCGAGGGGUGCUUGCACCCUGUCGGCGAGCGGCGAACGGCUGAGUAACGCGUAGGAAUUUGCCCCAAAGUGAGGAAUAACUGCCCGAAAGGGUAGCUAAUGCCGCAUAUGGUCUUCGGAUUAAAGGAUUUAUCCGCUUUGGGAGAAGCCUGCGUUGGAUUAGGUUGUUGGUAGGGUAAUGGCCUACCAAGCCGACGAUCCAUAGCUGGUCUGAGAGGAUGAUCAGCCAGACUGGAACUGAGACACGGUCCAGACUCCUACGGGAGGCAGCAGUGAGGAAUCUUCCUCAAUGGGCGAAAGCCUGAUGGAGCAACGCCGCGUGAAGGAUGAAGGCCUUCGGGUUGUAAACUUCUUUUAUGAGUGAAGAAUAUGACGGUAACUCAUGAAUAAGCACCGGCUAACUACGUG